rnacentral:rRNA from 1 species
UGAGUAACGCGUGGGAACGUACCUUUUGGUUCGGAACAACUGAGGGAAACUUCAGCUAAUACCGGAUAAGCCCUUACGGGGAAAGAUUUAUCGGCGAAUGGAUUAGCCCGCGUCCGAUUAGCUAGUUGGUGGGGUAAUGGCCCACCAAGGCUCCGAUCGGU